rnacentral:tRNA from 1 species
GGGCCCAUAGCGCAGUUGGUAGCGCGCCUCCGUGGCACGGAGGAGGUCGGGAGUUCGAAUCUCCCUGGGUCCA